UCACUGCAACCUCUACCUCCGGUGUUCAAGCGACUCUUGUGCCUAAGGCUCCCAAGUGGCUGAGAUUACAGCAGUAAGAAGUGGAAGCAUGAGUCCUCCCACAGAAGGAAAUGAUUGAGCACUUCUGCAAUGACAAUCUGCCCUUGACUUCCACCGAAGUGGCAAGUGUUCCUGUCUCCUGUUUGUCGGGGGAGAAGAUGAGUUCGCAUUGUAUCAUUCAAUAGUUCUCCUAAUUGCAACUACUACUCACAUCACAUCAAUGCACUUAUGUCAAUCAAGUAUGAUAGCACUCAGCAUUGUCUUUUUGCUCUAUAAACUCCUGUGAUUGUACAGUUCGAUUAUUUGUACCUUAAUUUCCAAUAGCAAGUCCUUUUAGUUGUAUUGAGGUUGUUUUUGUGAAAACUUCUUAACUUUCUCUUUUCGUUGAAAUUGAUUUCUCAUGUAUGAAAAUAGUUUUGGGGGGAUUCAAAUUAAUACUUGAUUAUUUAUGUUACUGUAAAAAGGAUUCCUCCAAAGCACAUCGCCAAAAAACUAAACGCAUUGGCUGCAUUGUGGCGUUAAUUAAAAAUUUUCAAUAGGUAAGCUCUAAUGACAUAAGAAAUUACACAAGAAAAACAAGGGGGAGUGUAGAUGUGGAGAGAGCUAUUGUAUAAGCAAAUAGGAAGACUGCUCACAAUGUGAGAGAACACAAACAGGAUGUAUAAACUGCAAAACCAAUGCCAAAGUUUUCUGGUAGCCAACAUACAUAGAAUUAGAAUGAUCGUUUCACCUGGUGAGAUUCCAAAAGGAAAUAAAUAAUGGUAUUCAGAAUUGUUUCUUUAAUGAAAGAGGUAACUGAAAUCAAAAGGUUACAUAACUCUUUGCUGAACAUAAACAACUGCCUGAGGGUAGCUUGUACAAAUAUAGAAUACUUUUAUCUAGGCUUUGAGAGUAUAAGCUGAAAUUCUCUUGAAUAGUCCCUUAAGUAUGAUUCUCCAUUUCCCAAUAACUUUUAAUGAGUUAAGCUUAAUUGUGAGGCAGGAUGAAGAGAAUAUUAUAGGUAAAAAUAACAUGCUAUGCAUAUUUAAACAUCACGUAUUGUACUUUAUUAUCCCUUUAGCUUCUACAUAUUUUCCUAUAUUGUCAGUUUCCGGGCUCUUUUCAUUGUCAGAUUUAUAAAUGAUCAAUUUGAGAUUUCAAUUUAAUUUCAAGUCAGGAAGUAGAAAUAGUAUGCAACAGAUAAAACAUAACUGAAGUUAUUUUUAAAUGAAAUUAUCUGAGCAGCCUGAGUCCCUGUUUGUAAUCUGAAAGGAGGGGUGAAAUGGAUAUAAUCUAAGCUUUUUUCAGAUAAGAAACUCCAUAAUGCAUUCUUACUCACGACUCUAUUCAACAUUAGAGAAAACAUGGAUAGUAACAAAGAGCUACUUGCAGACAUCACUUUAAAAUUGAGCCCCAGGUAGUUAAGUAUGAAAAAUGACCAAACUUUAAUGUCCUUUGCCAAAGCCUAGGUGAGGAACUUAAUGGAAACAAUAAGCUCAUCUUACCAAGAAAUACUAAUGGUAAAGCCAGAGAGCAAGCAGCUGACAUUUAUUAACUUUAUUGUGAGCUACAUCCCAUGUGGCACUCUGGGUAUACAAAGAUGAACUGCACAAUCACUUAAUAGCUCAGUCAGGAGAUAAAGGAGUAAAUACAAAUCUCAGCACAGUUAUGAUAAACACUAUGAUAAAUACUAUGAAAGAGAUAAGCAGAGAAUGCAAUGAAAUUACAUGGGAGGGGAAUUGUCAUAGGCUGAGAAGGCUUCAUAGAAUAGAAGACAUUGAUUAAAUCUUAAAGUAGGUGCCACCAGAUAGAAAACAAUUUAUACCAAGUCUCUUGGAGAAAUUUUUCUCUUUUUUAUUUUCUUUGACCCUGUCUUGAGUUCUUUAGCCUUUGUCUUUCAAAUGAAUUUUAACAUCACCUUGUCAAGCUCCAUAAAAACAUACUCAGAAUUGGGACUGUGAAUUUAUCUUUAACAUGCAUGUCUUUCCAUUCAUAAAACAGUGUAUCCAUUUAUAUUAGCCUUCCUUAGGUCCUUACACAUAAUUUAAACUUUUCCAUGCAGAAAGACUUGUAUGUGUUUUAUUAUAUUCAUUGCUCUUUUGAAUGGAAUAUUUUAACUACAUUUAAAAUGAUUUGUUAAAAUGAGUCAUAGCGUAUUACACAUUAUUUAUCUUUUAUGUUAAUCUUAUUUCCAGAAACUAUGUGAAAUUUUUAAAACUAAUUCUAAUAGCUUGUUAGUAGAUUGUCUCAGAUAUUAUAUAGAAAUAAUCUUUAUAAUCAUUUUGAAUAUUUAUUUGUUCUGAUUUUUAUUUUAUUUCAGAGGCCAGGCCCUCUGAAACAAUGCUGAAUAGAAGUGGUUAUGGUGAGCAAACUUGUCUAGUGUACUUCAAAGAGAAUGCUGCAAAUCUUUCUCCAUUAAGUAUGAUAUUUACAGCUUAUUUUUCCCACGACAUGAAUGGAUGUCAAAUUUUUGUCAUACUCUUCUUCUAAUUUUUUAUUGUAAACAUACCCAGGGAUGUACAGAUAUAUAGCAUUUUAAAAAAAAAUAAAGCAAGCACCCAUGUAAAUACCACACAGGUUAAAAAACAUAGAACCGUGAUAGUAUUUUCAAAGCCCCUGAAUUUUCUCCUCCAAUCAUAUCUUCACUAAUCAAAAACCAUAAAGCAUCUAGCAAAAAUUGGGAAAAUAAUCUUUGCUUAUUGGGGGCUCGCAACAAUCUCUUAGACGUGACAACCAAGCACAGUUAUAAAAGAAAAAGUAAAUAAAUUUAAUUAAGAAUUUCUGCUGUUUGAAAAAUACUUGUAAGAGAAUAGAAUAGAGAAGCCACAAAGUGGGCGAAAACAUUUGCAGAUCAUAUAUCUAAUAAAAGACUUGUAUGUAGAAUAUAUAAGGAACUCUCAAAACUCACUAACAAGAAAAGAAAUUGGCAGGCAAAACAUAUGAACAGACAUUUAACCAAAAAAGAUACGUAUGGCAAAUAAGUACAUGAAAAGAUUAGGAAAGUUAGCCAUUAGGAAAAUGCAAAUUAAAGCCACAAUGAGCUACCACUAACCAUCUAUUUGAAUAGAUAACAUUUUGAAAAUACUUACCAUACUAACUGCUGGCAAGGACGUAGAGCAACUGGAUCGUUCACACAUUGCUGUGGGAAUGCAAAAUAAUAUAGACACUUUGAGAAACAAUUUGACAGUUUCUUAUCAAGCUAAAAAUAUAGUUAUCAUACAAACCAGAAAUCCCUCUCCCAGGUAUUUAUUCAAGUGAAAUGAGAACUUGUGUUCACACAAAAACUGUACGUGAAAGCUUAAGUGGCUUUAUUUGUUAUCAUUCAAAACUGGAAACAAUACAAAUGUUUGAACUAGGUACUGGUUAAACAAAUUCUGGUAUAUCUAUGCAACAGAAUACUGCCAAGAAAGAAAGAAAUGAAGAACGAAUACACAAAACGGCAUAGGUGAAUCUCAAGUGCUUUAUGCAAGUGAAAGAAGUCAGACUCAAAGACUCCAUCCUGUAUGAUUCCAUUUGUAUGACAUUGUGAAAAAGCCAAAAUUAUAUGGACAUAAAACAGAUCAGUGAUUGCCAUGGCUAGUGAAAACAAGCUGAAUAAAUAGAGACUGCACCAUGACACAUUUGGCAGAGGGGAAGAGUGAUGGACUUGUUCUGUAUCUCGAUUGUGACGGUGGUUAGAGGUCUGUAGCUAUUUGUCAAAACUCACAGAACAUAGGACAGUUUUGUAAAAGGAUAAAUUUUACUGUAUCUAUUUUACAUGACAAUAAAG
rnacentral:lncRNA from 10 species